CUGCGCCGCGCUGCCUUACCGAUUCUUCCUCCUUCUCCAUCCCCGUGGGCAUCUGCGGCACGGCCCGGUUGAUGGAGACGCAGUCGUUGAGAGACUCACGGAAUAUUUAGGGUUGGAAGGGAGCUCUGGAAACCAACCCGUGCAGCCAGGGUCACCUGAGGCAGCAAAUACAACUGCUGUUCGUGACAAACACAUGAUUUACAAAAUGAAGAAUAAAGAAUUGUGUCAGCUAGAGAAAGAGAGAGAGAGAAGGAAGAUGAAACAAGCACAGGAAUACACAGGAGGGAAACAGAAGCAGCAAGAACAUUGUGUUCAUCAAACACAGACACAAAUUAGCUUGGGAAAGAGAUCUGGAAAUUAUAUUAACUGCUGCUAUGAAAGCAUCAGUGGCAACAUUUUCCCUGCCCACCUUGCUCUGAGGUCGAUGUCAUUGCUUUGUGCUCAUCUGGAGUGGCAGCACCCACUGGACUGGGAAUGUUUCAUGUUCCAUGCAGAGAAAACCCUGAAAACCCCAAAAAUCUCUCCAGCUGGGGUAGAGCCACGGGCACUGCAAACACCCAGCUUCCAGAAGGCCAGGUCCUUGGGAAGAGGCAGGAUUCAUGGGAGAGCCAAUGCAGAGAAGAGCAGGAGCAGCUGGAACUUCAAAGAGAUCUGAAGAGGUGCCCAAACCACGUGGGACCAUUUCUGUGGAACCUGCACAGACUUUUCCCAUAGGAAAAUCAGGGAAUGUCACAGGCGUGAUGGGAAUUUCUAACCCUGAAAUCCUAAAUAAUCCUGUGAGAUUACAAAAAAGGACUUUGGUGCUUCUGGCUACUCCAGGUAUAGGGAAAAAAUCUUCCAAGACAAAAGAAUGGCUGGGUUUGGUAAUGUUCCUGCAGGUACCUGAGUUGUGUCACUAAUUAAUCAUUCCUGGAAACAAAGGAGAAAUAAAG